GGUGAUGCAACGUCCAAGACGAAAUCCGGCUUGUUCAGCGGGUAGUUGGGGGUCGACAAUUGGAUUGAGCCGGGCCAGGAGAAGCCGUUCGAGAAGCUUGUACGGGACACAGAGGAGUGAGAUGGGCU